CCCGGAUUGAACGGCCUGUCUGAGCUCUUUUUCUGUUUUUCGGCGGCGGCUUUGCCGCCGCCGAAAAACAGAAAAAAGCGAGUAGUGAAAGCCGGAAAUGUG
rnacentral:misc_RNA from 1 species